GUAUUCUUGCCAAAAUAGUAAUAAUAUUGGGACGAUACAGAGAAGAUUAGUACAGCUACCUGCUCAAGGACUACACAAAAAUUCGUGAAGCAUUCCGUAUUUUU
rnacentral:snRNA from 1 species